CCCUGUUUAGUUUAAUUUAUUAAAACGUCUGGUUGUGGGGCAGAAAAAGGGAAAUUUCCAACAGGGA
rnacentral:tRNA from 1 species